GGAAGUUCCGCCGAGUGUUUGUGUGUGUGUGUUGGUGCCUUUGGACAGAUCACUGGAUAUAUGUGGAGGUGGACCUGGAGUCCAGGAUGCAGUGCAUCACCAGCUAAAAAUGGUCACUCGAAGAACCAGUUGAGCGGAAGUUCCAGCGAAUGUGUGUGUGUGUAUUGGCGAUUGUGGACAGAUCACUGGAUAGAUAUGGAGAUUUUGCAUUGAUUACUGGAUUUAUAGAAAUGGAGAUGUCGUCAUUCAAGACUCCAGAGCAUCGAAAACUUCUUCAGUGCCCGAGCAGGAACGAAAUGAAGAGCUGGAAGCCUGGCAUUUACAUCAUAACAUGGCCGCCUGAUGGAUAGACAGAUAGCCAGGCAUUAGCAUUAGUGGCCACCACAAUGGGCAUGCCGAUGAUGAUGAUAUUGGGGAUGAUGAGGACGAUGGCGGUGGCUGCGAUGCCUGAUGAAGAUGAUUGCCAUGAUUACGAUGAUGGGCAGAUGAUGAUGACGACAGCCAGCUCAACUGGACGAGGAUGAGCCAGGAGCUCCUGUGCCUGCCUCAAAUUCGGAUUUGGUCUCCGAUUCGGAUUCAGAUUCAGUAAGCGAUUCGCAAACCUAUUGCGAUGCCGGUUGAGAUCCGGACUCAAGCCUAGACACUCCGUCUGGGCGUGGCCGGCGCUGAUGUUGAAACAUGCGGGUGAAUUAUCUUUUCAUUUCAUUUCCAUCAAUGUCGUCGUUGUCGUGGCUUUCGGUACGACUGCUGUUGUGGUGAAAAUUGCCACUUCCAUUCGCCCGGACGACUCCCCCCUUUUUCGACCACCUGCAGCUUGUAGUAACAACGGCCACACAUUCGCCAAUACGGGGGACUGAAAGUCGCCAUUCAAUUGUUUGGCUUGCUGUGUCCUUUUCGCCACGCCCCCGCGGCAGCCUCUGAAAUUUUGGGGCAUCAUUAAGAAGGAAUUGGGGGCCAUUAAGGAGAUGCCAGCACAAAUGUCGCCCAUUAACA